GGUCUGGCUGGGCGGUCCGCCGUUUCGGCGAGUACUGCCUCAGCUGGACCUUUCCUUCUGGGGAACCGGUGUGCCCUUCACUGGGCGUGCCGGGGAGCCAGGACAUUUACCUUGAAAAAAUUAGAGUGUUCAAAGCAGGCGCACGCUUGUAUAGAUUAGCAUGGAAUAAUAGAAUAGGAC
rnacentral:rRNA from 1 species